rfam:Ipomoea nil DNA, scaffold: scaffold2833, cultivar: Tokyo-kokei standard.
ACCAUCUUAACUCAUUGGUAGAGCGCGUGGCUUUUAACCACGUGGUCAUGGGUUCGAUCGCCACAGAUGGUG